rnacentral:rRNA from 1 species
CAUAGGUUAACAGAGCAAACCGGGGGAACUGAAACAUCUAAGUACCCCGAGGAGAAGAAAUCAACCGAGAUUCCGGUAGUAGCGGCGAGCGAACCUGGAUUAGCCCUUAAGCACUCGGUGAAGUAGGUGAACAAGCUGGAAAGCUUGGCGAUACAGGGUGAUAGCCCCGUAACCGACGCUUCAUCGAGCGUGAAAUCGAGUAGGGCGGGACACGUGAUAUCCUGUCUGAAUAUGGGGGGACCAUCCUCCAAGGCUAAAUACUCCUGACUGACCGAUAGUGAACCAGUACCGUGAGGGAAAGGCGAAAAGAACCCCUGUGAGGGGAGUGAAAUAGAACCUGAAACCGUGUACGUACAAGCAGUAGGAGCACCUUCGUGGUGUGACUGCGUACCUUUUGUAUAAUGGGUCAGCGACUUAUAUUCAGUGGCAAGGUUAACCGUAUAGGGGAGCCGUAGCGAAAGCGAGUCUUAACUGGGCGCUCAGUCUCUGGAUAUAGACCCGAAACCGGGUGAUCUAGCCAUGGGCAGGUUGAAGGUUGAGUAACAUCAACUGGAGGACCGAACCGACUAAUGUUGAAAAAUUAGCGGAUGACUUGUGGCUAGGGGUGAAAGGCCAAUCAAACUCGGAGAUAGCUGGUUCUCCCCGAAAGCUAUUUAGGUAGCGCCUCGGACGAAUACUACUGGGGGUAGAGCACUGUUAAGGCUAGGGGGUCAUCCCGACUUACCAACCCUUUGCAAACUCCGAAUACCAGUAAGUACUAUCCGGGAGACACACGGCGGGUGCUAACGUCCGUCGUGGAGAGGGAAACAACCCAGACCGCCAGCUAAGGUCCCAAAGUAUUGCUAAGUGGGAAACGAUGUGGGAAGGCUCAGACAGCUAGGAUGUUGGCUUAGAAGCAGCCAUCAUUUAAAGAAAGCGUAAUAGCUCACUAGUCGAGUCGGCCUGCGCGGAAGAUGUAACGGGGCUAAGCAAUACACCGAAGCUGCGGCAAUGUCCUUUGGACAUUGGGUAGGGGAGCGUUCUGUAAGCCGUUGAAGGUGAAUCGUAAGGUUUGCUGGAGGUAUCAGAAGUGCGAAUGCUGACAUGAGUAACGACAAAGGGGGUGAAAAACCUCCUCGCCGGAAGACCAAGGGUUCCUGUCCAACGUUAAUCGGGGCAGGGUGAGUCGACCCCUAAGGUGAGGCCGAAAGGCGUAAUCGAUGGGAAACGGGUUAAUAUUCCCGUACUUCUGACUAUUGCGAUGGGGGGACGGAGAAGGCUAGGUGGGCCAGGCGACGGUUGUCCUGGUUCAAGUGCGUAGGCUUGAGAGUUAGGUAAAUCCGGCUCUCUUUAAGGCUGAGACACGACGUCGAGCUGCUACGGCAGUGAAGUCAUUGAUGCCAUGCUUCCAGGAAAAGCCUCUAAGCUUCAGAUAGUCAGGAAUCGUACCCCAAACCGACACAGGUGGUCGGGUAGAGAAUACCAAGGCGCUUGAGAGAACUCGGGUGAAGGAACUAGGCAAAAUGGUACCGUAACUUCGGGAGAAGGUACGCUCUUGAUGGUGAAGUCCCUCGCGGAUGGAGCUGACGAGAGUCGCAGAUACCAGGUGGCUGCAACUGUUUAUUAAAAACACAGCACUGUGCAAAAUCGCAAGAUGACGUAUACGGUGUGACGCCUGCCCGGUGCCGGAAGGUUAAUUGAUGGGGUUAGCGCAAGCGAAGCUCUUGAUCGAAGCCCCGGUAAACGGCGGCCGUAACUAUAACGGUCCUAAGGUAGCGAAAUUCCUUGUCGGGUAAGUUCCGACCUGCACGAAUGGCGUAAUGAUGGCCACGCUGUCUCCACCCGAGACUCAGUGAAAUUGAAAUCGCUGUGAAGAUGCAGUGUACCCGCGGCUAGACGGAAAGACCCCGUGAACCUUUACUACAGCUUGGCACUGAACAUUGAACCUACAUGUGUAGGAUAGGUGGGAGGCUAUGAAGACGUGACGCCAGUUGCGUUGGAGCCGUCCUUGAAAUACCACCCUUGUAUGUUUGAUGUUCUAACUUAGACCCAUUAUCUGGGUUGAGGACAGUGCCUGGUGGGUAGUUUGACUGGGGCGGUCUCCUCCCAAAGAGUAACGGAGGAGCACGAAGGUGGGCUAAUCACGGUUGGACAUCGUGAGGUUAGUGCAAUGGCAUAAGCCCGCUUAACUGCGAGAAUGACGGUUCGAGCAGGUGCGAAAGCAGGUCAUAGUGAUCCGGUGGUUCUGUAUGGAAGGGCCAUCGCUCAACGGAUAAAAGGUACUCCGGGGAUAACAGGCUGAUACCGCCCAAGAGUUCAUAUCGACGGCGGUGUUUGGCACCUCGAUGUCGGCUCAUCACAUCCUGGGGCUGAAGUCGGUCCCAAGGGUAUGGCUGUUCGCCAUUUAAAGUGGUACGCGAGCUGGGUUUAGAACGUCGUGAGACAGUUCGGUCCCUAUCUGCCGUGGGCGUUGGAAGAUUGAAGGGGGCUGCUCCUAGUACGAGAGGACCGGAGUGGACGAACCUCUGGUGUUCGGGUUGUGUCGCCAGACGCAUUGCCCGGUAGCUAAGUUCGGAAUUGAUAAGCGCUGAAAGCAUCUAAGCGCGAAGCGAGCCCUGAGAUGAGUCUUCCCUGA